UUUAGAGAGUCCCCUCCCAUUGAAACCAAUAUUAUUCACCGGCCGCCAGUACUUUCUGGGAAAUGAAUGGGAGUCAACGGAGGCUGAGGGAGGACCUUCCUCCCUGAAGUAAUUGUCAAAAGGCGAUAGGGGGUGCUGAUGUCCCUUUACCCAGGGAAACGAACAUUAUAUAUUCAAAGGCAUUAAAGUAGUCAUAUUUAAGGGCAUUCAUUCAUUACAGUAGUCUGGGCAAUCUAUAUAUUUUUUAUUCUCAACAAUGUUAAGGAGGAUCUUCCUCCCUUUCCUCAAUGAAGAAGCCUCCAAUAUAAAUCACUGAUAAUGUGUGAAGGAAAUCUGGGAUUGUGGUGGUUUAACUAAUUUGAAAUUUGGACCAUGAGUAAACUGUUCCUUCCUUCAAAGGUCUAUCAUGGAUAUUUAACUGCAAUUCUGUGAGUAUCCCAACUUAACCAUGAAGCAUAACUGCAAACUGUAAGUCAUUAAUUUCUCAUUACUCUUGGGCACAUUGAUGUAUUUUGGCUUCCUGGUGAGUUAACCUGUUACCUGAAGGUUGAUCUGAGUAUUAAGGUUGUUUUAUUGGUUCAUGGGUUACUUAGGUGUUUGGUUUAUGUUGGUUUUAAUGAUUUGUUAAAAUGGUUACAGGCUCCAAGUUAUUGUUGUAAGCUGGAGUAAUGGGUUGGGUUCUGAUAUCUUCAGUCUUCUUUCAUUCUACUCCCCUGAGCUCUGCAUCUUCAUCACAUGAGUGUUGCUUUACUGAUGAGGGUGUGGUCUGAGUGAGCAGAGGUGCAUACUGGGAUACAGAGCUGUUUGAAGUCUACAGGUCUGUAGACACGCCUCCUCAGGGGAAACCGAGUCUUUGAGGAACUGUCGUGACGUCAGUUACAUGGACUGGAAUGUUCUUAAAGAUGGAGACAGGGAUUCAGAAGGAGAAACACCAGGGGGAGAUGAGGGGGCUCCUCAUCUCAACGACUGAAACACAACUUCAGUCUGACACAGAGAACCAUGGAACACAUUCAACAGUCCCCUCCAGGCAUCGUGACUCCUCAGGAACAGUUUCAUUUCCAAGAAGGUCUUAUUUUGGGCCAUCCCCAUAUGGAUCCUGCUCCUCAAGAGCCACCCCCCUCCAUUGGGUUGUCUUCUGAACAGAUGACCUCCUUCCUGUCCUCAGGCUGACUAAAGCUGCACCGUUUGCAUCUGUGAAGGCCCCCCAUUCAGGAAACCACUGGACUACAAAGACAUGACUUCAGAGAUGUUGAAUCAACCUGAGACACAUUUUGGAGACGCCAAGCAUAAUCCAUCACCAAUGUGGGACGCCACUGAAGAAUGUUGUACAUAAUUUACGUCUCUGGAGACAUUGGUUGUUCUGUUAUGGGUGCCCUUGCAGGAGAGCUGGGGGGGGGGGGGGAUGAUGGAAUGUUAUUUGGCAUGAGGUUUUUACCCUGCUUGAUUGUUUGGCCUUUUAUGGCUCAGUGGUGUGUUUGGGUUUGACAUGAGAUGGAAGAUUUUUUCGCUAGGGUUCUACUGUGUGUGUGUGUCACACCUGGCAUGGGGUUCUACGUGCCUGUCCUGGGUUCUCUAUGUGUGUGUGUCUGGCUUGCUUUGACAGUGAUAAUGUUCAUAUGGGGGUCUGUGUGAUUGGAAUGGUCAACUAAAUCAUACCUGAUGGACGGCCACACGUUUACUUAGGGCCUCCAGUAGACAUGAAGAGCCCUGAGCGACGCUCCGGAGCGAUAUCCAACACACUGGGCAGGAAGGAGAGUAUCCAACUAAAGUGUAAAAGGAUGCAAGCGGCGUGUUCAGAUCCGUGACUUCAAACUAGGACUUCAUCAAUCAGGAUCAAUGGAGGAUGGACACCAAAAGGAAUUCCACAAGGAGAGUCUGAUGUUGGAAAGGGACCUAAAUGGAUAUUCAAGAUGACCUGUAAUGAGACGGCUCUUCCUACCUGGCUGGAUUGAUGGAGAGCCCUGUGGAUCUUGUCUUGCUCUCAGUUGCACGUCUACUCAGGCUGAACUGUAUUUGUUUCGGACAGGACUAGCUGAACGAUUGGUUCCCUUAAACCAGAACCUAUCCGGGAACUCCAGCUAGUGCGCUCUUCGAGCUGAAGUUGUGCUCUUCAGCUGAGGAGGUAAGGAAACCUUCACUGGGGCUUCAAGGUGUAAAGAGGAGAAUGUUUCAAAGUGUUCCAUGGUACUCUGAUGAAGACCGUUGUUGUGUUCCACUGGCUGAGAGGAAGAACCCACACGUCUUCCUCUUGGCCUUUCUCCUCUGAGAAUCCUGGUGCCAUCUUGAAGGAUAUUCCAGCUCAUGUAACUGAUGUCACGACAGAUUCUCAAACACUUGGUUUCUCCUGAGGGGCGUGUCUAUGGAACUGAAGACUUCAGACAGCACUGUAUCCCAGCAUGCAUCUCUGCUCACUCAGACCACACCCCCAUGAGUAGGAUGCAACACUCUAGUGAUGGACAUGUAGAGUUUUAUAAGUAACGAGGGAGCAGACUAAGGUGAUCAGAACACAAUGGAAUGUCAAGUCUUUAAACCAUGAAGAUGGUUUGAUAGUUCAGGAAUUGGGCUUCUUUUUAUUACAGGCAGUCCUUUCACUCAGAUGCCCACUUCUCACUGGAGCUGUACAUGUGUUGGCUGGCUGGCAUGAUUUGCUGUUGGUGAUGAGGCGGUCAGGGUGACGUUGAAGGGCUAUGGUCGGCUCUCUGUGAGCUCAACGUUUAGAUUUGCUCUGUAUGGUUUGUACCCUGAAUAAUCUAGAUAAUUGUGAAAUGUAGACGCGGUUCUGUAUUGAAUGAUUUUAGGUUUAAAGUUGUUGUGGGACGUACAUGGUAGUUUGGUUCUUCGUAUGGUUUUGAGUGAUAUAACUUGUACACACUGGGUGCAUAAUAAUGUAAAGGUACACUGAAUAGUAGAAAUGUCCAACAGCAACAAACAGAUCUCCUCAAGGUAAGUCUGUUGGCUGUGUUUUAAUGAAGACCAUCGCUGGACUUCAGGAUCUUCCUCCGUUCAGCUCAAGGUGAGGCGCUGGUUCUGUUUUUUCUUUGGUUGGUUCCGGCCGGAAUGUUCGUAUUCCAGUCGGACGGUUUGUGCUUCCCGCCGUGGAAGGUUCUGAGUGCGGUCACUUGAUUUAGUCCCAAUGGUUAGCAUAGAACGUUGUAGUCUUGACAACCAUAAGAAACCACCUGGCAGUUAGUUGGACGAGAAUCUGGCGGAACGUUCUGGAUUGUAUUUGCGUAACCUUGAGCCGUUGCCAACGGAAUUUUUUUUCAGUCGGUUCCCAUUGGGAAUUGUUGCCCCCUAUCUUAAACAACUUAAGUUUUGAUGUUAAAUACAUACUGAUGCGUACGUCGUACAAUAUGUUGAUAAUUUCUGAUCGUUGCGCCGUACUUUUAACCACGAUGACGUGACGGGACUCUCGCUGCGUACAAAACAGCGUUCUACUUGCGGGCCCAUUUUUGACAUCAGGAAAGGCUGAAAAUCAUUUCAAGGCGGAAGAUAAUUUGACAUUUCUUCAACGGAACCCAGCACCUGAAUAUGGCUGAGUAUAUUUGAUUUAAUAUCGAUACUGCUUAGUGUUCUUUGUUACUUCAGCUUUUGUACGUUCUAAAUAUCUGCUGUCAUUAAUUGCCACAGAAGUUAAACCCUACCCAAUGGAAUGACGUUAAACAACGACUUUGGUGCAGAGUUACCAACUGGAUAAUAUCAAAGCUAAAAUAAUGGCUGUCAUUUCCACAUGUUGCAGUAGAAGAUACUCUAGAACUGUACAAGGUUAAAAAGGUAACAUGUAGUUUGUCCCAAGGUGUCUGCCUCCUCACCCAGAGCAAGACCUCCACCUCCUCACCCAGAGCCAGGACUCUACCCAGAGCCAGACCUCCACCUCCUGUCAGAAGUCCUCCAGAACAGCUGAAAGGCGAGGCUGAGAGGCUGGGGACCGGAGGCUUGUGGUGCCAGGGUGGACCGGAGACUGAGGCUGGAGACAAGGGGGCUGCAGCACCGGACCAGAGGACCAGCAAUCCAUGGCUGAAGGAGCUGAUGGAGGAGCCGAGCUGAUGGAGGAGCCGAGCUGAUGGAAGAGUCGUGCUGAAGGCCCUGCCUUGUGGAGGCCCUGCCUGGUGAAGGACGUCUGUUGUGGGGUAGAUAGAGCUUGACUCUGAAGUGAUCAACACACUCACUGCCACUUCUCGUAGAAUACUGCUACCACAAACUACCGGCGUUUGUACCAUAUAUACCAGACGACUACAUCUGUUUUACCACAUGUUGAAGCAAGACUUCCGCUGUUUGUUCCAGACCAGGACUCUGUCUGAGGAGAGCUGCUGGAGGAGGUGAGAUGCUGGAGGACGACUAGGAAUCGACCAACAAGGAUUCCUCCUAAAACGUGUUUCUGGAGCGGAGGCGAGCUGGUAGGGGAGCCGUGAAUCUGGAGGAUGACCAUCACUCUACCAACAAGGAUUACUUUAGGGCCAGACUCGCGCUGUUUGUUCCAGACCAGGACUCUGGCUGAGGAGAGCUGAUGGAGGAGCCAAGACUCUGGAGGACGACAUCACUCCACCAACCAGGAUCCUCAGCCCAACUACUCCUGUGUUUGUUACCUCCACCUCCUGUCAGAAGUCCUCCAGAACAGCUGAAAGGCGAGGCUGAGAGGCUGGGGACCGGAGGCAUGUGGUGCCAGGGUGGACCGGAGACUGAGGCUGGAGACCAGGGGCCUGCAGCACCGGACCAGAGGACCAGCAAUCCAUGGCUGAAGGAGCUGAUGGAGGAGCCGAGCUGAUGGAGGAGCCGAGCUGAAGGAGCUGAUGGAAGAGUCGUGCUGAAGGCCCUGCCUUGUGGAGGCCCUGCCUGGUGAAGGACGUCUGUUGUGGGGUAGAUGGAGCUUGACUCUGAAGUGAUCAACACACUCGCUGCCACUUCUCGUAGAAUACUGCUACCACAAACUACCGGCGUUUGUACCAUAUAUACCAGACGACUACAUCUGUUUUACCACAUGUUGAAGCAAGACUUCCGCUGUUUGUUCCAGACCAGGACUCUGUCUGAGGAGAGCUGCUGGAGGAGGUGAGAUGCUGGAGGACGACUAGGAAUCGACCAACAAGGAUUCCUCAACGUGUUUCUGGAGCGGAGGCGAGCUAGUAGGGGAGCCGUGAAUCUGGAGGAUGACCAUCACUCUACCAACAAGGAUUACUUUAGGGCCAGACUUGCGCUGUUUGUUCCAGACCAGGACUCUGGCUGAGGAGAGCUGAUGGAGGAGCCAAGACUCUGGAGGACGACAUCACUCCACCAACCAGGAUCC